GAUGAACGCUAGCGGCAGGCUUAACACAUGCAAGUCGAGGGGCAGCAUGAACCGACCUUCGGGAAGGUUUGAUGGCGACCGGCGCAAGGGUGCGUAACGCGUGAGCAACUUGCCCGUUUCUGGGGAAUAACCGGUGGAAACGCCGACUAAUACCCCAUAGCAUCAACUUUGGGCAUCCUUAGUUGAUUAAAGAAUUUCGGAAACGGAUAGGCUCGCGUGACAUUAGCUGGAUGGCGGGGUAACGGCCCACCAUGGCUACGAUGUCUAGGGGUUCUGAGAGGAAGGUCCCCCACACUGGAACUGAGACACGGUCCAGACUCCUACGGGAGCAGCAGUGAGGAAUAUUGGUCAAUGGUCUGACGACUGAACCAGCCAUGCCGCGUGAAGGUCAGGCCCUANGGGUCUUAAACUUCUUUGCAGGGAGCAAUAAGGUCUACGUGUAGACUGAUGAGAGUACCUUG
rnacentral:rRNA from 1 species